AGGGCACCACAAGGGGUGGAGCCUGCGGCUUAAUUUGACUCAACACGGGGAAACUCACCAGGUCCAGACACAACUAGGAUUGACAGAUUGAGAGCUCUUUCUUGAUUUUGUGGGUGGUGGUGCAUGGCCGUUCUUAGUUGGUGGAGUGAUUUGUCUGCUUAAUUGCGAUAACGAACGAGACCUUAACCUGCUAAAUAGCCCGUACCGCUCAGGCGGUACGCUGGCUUCUUAGAGGGACUAUCGGCUCAAGCCGAUGGAAGUUUGAGGCA
rnacentral:rRNA from 1 species